GCAUUGGCCGUUCAGUGGUAGAAUUCUCGCCUUCUACAGGUGAGACCUGGGUUUGAUUCUCAGUCAAUGCA
rnacentral:tRNA from 1 species